rnacentral:rRNA from 1 species
UACGGAGGGUGCAAGCGUUAAUCGGAAUUACUGGGCGUAAAGCGCACGUAGGUGGUGACAAAAGUUGGAUGUGAAAUCCCCGAGCUUAACUUGGGAAUUGCAUUCAAAACUGUGUCGCUAGAGUGCAGUAGAGGGGGGUGGAAUUCUCGGUGUAGCGGUGAAAUGCGUAGAGAUCGGGAAGAACACCAGUGGCGAAGGCGACCCCCUGGUCUGUAACUGACACUGAGGUGCGAAAGCGUGGGGAGCAAACAGG